UUAACCAUAAACGACUCUCGGCAACGGAUAUCUCGGCUCACGCAUCGAUGAAGAACGUAGCAAAAUGCGAUACUUGGUGUGAAUUGCAGAAUCCCGUGAAUCAUCGAGUUUUUGAACGCAAGUUGCGCCCGAAGCCUUUUGGCUGAGGGCACGUCUGCCUGGGCG
rnacentral:rRNA from 1 species